AUUUCAUCUCCUUUUGCAUGGCUUUAACCCACUCACUUUUAUGCUAGUGAGACAUAGUUUCUUUAAAACAUUCUGGUCCCCCUCUAUUUGUAAGCAUCACAUACUCAUGUGGAGGAUAUCUAGUGGAAGGUCACCAUUCUUUGGUGGAUCUCCUCAAUUAUGGCUCAACUGAUGGUGUAGGUGGUUCUAGAGGUACUUGCUUAAUUGGUUCUACUGGACUAUCAUUAUUAUUCUCUCCAGCUCCCCCAUAAUCAUCAUGAACUACAAGUGGAGAAAUUGAAGUUGAAAUAAUAGGAAUCUCUAGAGAUGACUAAAGAUUCAUCACUCUUCUCUACAUCACCAACUAUUUGAUCUUCAAAAAAUACAUCUCUACUUUUGAUCAAUUUUCUUGCCAUUAGAUCCUAUAAUAUGUACCCAAAUUCUUCAUGGUCAUAGCCUAAGAAAAUGCAUUCAUUGGCUUUAUCAUCAAGCUUCGAUCUUUUAUCCUUACGAAUGUGAAGAUAUGCUUUGUCUCCAAACAAUUUGAAGUGUUUAUAAGAAACAUCUUUCCCAGUCUAAACUCUCUUAGGUACAUCACCAUUUUAAUAGAGUUGAAACAAAAAGGUUAAUUAAAUCAAAUGCAGUACACAUAACCUUUGCCCAAAAAGAUUUAGGAAGCUUGGUAUCAGAAAACAUACACCUGAUCUUUUCUUCAAUUGUUAUGUUCAUCCUUUCUACAACACCAUUCUGUUGCGAGAUUUUUGGUACAGUCUUCUCAAGUCUGAUUCCAUGGGAUCUGCAAUACUACUCAAAUGGUCCUUUAUACUCACCAUCAUUAUCUACCCUAAGACAUUUUAGUUUUUUCUUCCUGUCCCUCUCUCAACAUAAGCAAGGAAUAUCUUAAAUGUAUUAAGCACAUGGUCUUUAGAUUUCAAAGCAAAAGCCCACACUUUUUCAGAAAAAAUCAUCAAUAAAAGUUACAAAAUAAACUGCACCUCCUAUUGAUUUACUUUGCAUCAUUCAAACAUUAGUGUGAAUCAAAUUAAGGAUAUUCGACUUUCUAGAUAGAGAAAAGCUUUUAAAAGCUACUCUAUGUGCCUUUCCAACUAAGCAAUGAGCACAUGUCUUGAGGGAUGUACUUGCGAAACUGGGUAGAAAUCUUUUUCUGGCACGAGUUUCCAAGACCAAUGUGACCAAGCCUUUUGUGCCAUGUAUUAAUGUUAGAAUCUUUUAUAGCCACAUUCACAUCUUCUUUCCUGAUCUUAGCUUCUAAAGUUAGUACUAGGGAGCUUUUGGCGAGUUUCCAUUUUCCUUCACCAAAUUGAUUAUUAUAGACAUUAUCAUCAAGUUUUCCUGUGUGGAUCAAGUUAAAGUAAAUAUCUGGUACAUGUCUGACAUCUUACAACUUACAACCUAUAUUGGUUUCCAAGCAAAUAUCUCAAAUGCCCACAAUCUUGGAAGCCCCCUCAUUUUCCAUCCCAACAUGGCCAUAAUCACCAUUAACAUAGGAUGUAAAGUAAUCAUGAUGUGCAGUUACAUAAAAUGAAGCAUCUGAAUCAAUCACCCAAUCACUGAAAUGACAAGUAAAAUUUAUAGACCUUUAAUUAUAAGCAAUACCUAUAUCACCAUCAAUUAUGGCUGUAGUGUUCUCUUUGUCAUUUUUCUGAGCAUCAUCAUUUUCUUUUACUUAUUCUGUUUUCCGCAAUCUACACUCCCUUUUAAUGUGACCCAUUUUCUAACAAUGAAAGCACUUCAUAUUUCUCCUCUAGGACUUAGAUCUUUCUUUAGGAUUAUCAUUGUUCUGCUGGUAGGAAUUUCUACUUUGGCUUCUUCCCUACCUUUCUUGCUUUUCUAAAACAAGUACAUCUGACUUAGAGGAAUCUGCUUCAACACUCUUUCUUCUAGAUUUUUCAUUAUGCGGUGUAUUUGUAAUUAUAUCCAAGGUUAAUUUCUCAUUCGGUGCUGAAUUAUUCACUGAUAACAUUAAUGUCUCUUAACUCUCAAGCAAAGAACUAAGCAAUAACGAUACUUGUAACUUAUCAUCUAAAAUAAUUUUCAUAAUAGUUAACUGAUCAACCAAUCCCUGAAACUCACUAAUGUGUUCAAUUAUACUAGCCCCUCCUUGUAUUUCAAGUUAAUAAACAUUUUUAUCAAAUUGGCUUUAUUAUGUACAAUUGGUUGCUCAUAAAUCGUCUCUAAUUUCUCCAAAGAACAUCAGCCCUGAAUUCCUUCGCGACACAGUGUUACACACUUUGAUUAAUCCAUGAUCUAUUAGUACCCAUGGCCUUCUAGUUUAAUCGAUCCCAUUUCUUAUCAUCUAAAUCGGUGGCUAUAGUUUCUUCGCCUUCAGUGGGUUCAUGUAAAUCUUUUAUGUACAAUAAAUCUUCUAUUCUAGACUUUUAAAUACUAUAAUUCUAUGACUUUAAUUUAAUCAUGCAAGCCGAAGAUGCAUCCAUCUCAACCACAUAAGUAAAAAAAGGGACUAACACAAGCAGUUGCAAAUUAAGCGGAAACAAAACAUUUUUCCUCUUUAUGUGAUUAAAAUAGAAUGUGUAACACAGAUUAAUAAAUAGUAAAUAAAUCAACACAAUCCAAAACAAUAAACUAACCACAAGAGCACAUAUUUUUACGUGGAAACCCAAAACGCAAAAAACCACAGGACUGCAAUAUGAUAUAAUCUUCCACUAUAUUAUUGGGAUUACAACACAAAUUCUUCUCCAGAUAACACUAGAGGCUAACAACAUCAAGAAUUUCAACAAUCUUAGCUUACAGUAACAGCCUAAUAUAUGUCUCUUUAACAAGUAGAUAUCCCAAAUAACAACCAAUGAGAGGAUAAAAUAAAAAUCAAGAUCAAUAGGAUUGUAGAAGGCGAUACCAAGAACUUAUUUUCAAAAUUUAAGAGAAAACAUGGUUAAAAUUGUCUUUCAAUCGUCCAAUCAAAGAUUGAAAUUUCUAUUCUCAAAACCAAAAUUUCCUCUCUCUCUCUCUCUCUCUCUCUCUCCCCUUGAUAGCAAGCUGCUAUCUUUUUCAACCCUUGAUAGAGGUUUGCUAUAUUUCUUCUUUUAUAAUGCACUUUUCAAAACUUACCUUUUAAUGGUAAAUUUCAUCUGCCCCUUUAAGUUUUUCUUAAUUAUUUAAUCACCUAAACUUAUAAAGAUUUGAGCUUGCGCCACCCAAAUGAGAUAGACCCAACAUAUACAAUAUUAUUAUAAAUGAAUAGAUUAAUAAUUUUUAUGUUUAGUAUUAUUUAAUAGUACAUAAAUUAUUGAGUUAAAAAUUUAAUAUUAAUCUUAAAUUAAAUAAAAGUUAAAAAUAAAUUAUUGAUAUUAAAUUGAACUUAAAUUAAGAUAUGAGAGUGAGUCUUAUCUAAGCUCAUGAAAUAAUAGAGACUAAUAGUUCCAAAAUCUUUGGACUGAAUGUUGGAUUAAUUUGUUAAUUUUAAGCAACUAAACAUGACCUUGGAUUAGAUAAAAAAAUUUUAUUCUAAAAGUUAGUCCAAUCCUGCCUAAUUCCAGCUGCCAAACGUAGAUUAGGUGAUAUUCAAUUCAAGAAACUGAUUACAAAGUUUGGAAGCUUUUCUUUCAAGUAAUAAUCACUGUUUUUGUAACAGAAAAUCGGCUAGUGAUUGCAAAGUUUUCUACAACAAACAUUGCUGCCAAGUAACAAUUAAAAAGCAUUAAUCAUGUUAUUGAUUACUGUAAAUAAUAAGACGUACCUCAACAAGAUGAAGGUAAAGGUCCUAACAACAACACCACCAAUAACAACAACAACCUUAUUAAAAAAAAAAAAAUCAUCAUUAAUGUACGAUUUUUUUUCCCUCUAUGGUGCACCACCAAUAACAACAACAACCUUAUUAAGACGUACCUCAACAAGAUGAAGGUAAAGGUCCUAACAACAACACCACCAAUAACAACAACAACCUUAUUAAAAAAAAAAAAAUCAUCAUUAAUGUACGAUUUUUUUUCCCUCUAUGGUGAUGAACAUAAAACUGAGCAAGUGUAGUCAGCUGGAGCUAGAUUGAGACAUUGACACAUGCACAAUGGCAUUGGGGUUCAUAGAACUAUAGAACAAGUACAGCAAUUGGUCCCUAUUUAUACAUAUUCUGCACACAUGGACUUGAUUGAAUAUUAAGCUAGCAAAGAGAAUAUCUAUUAAAAAAUUUGAAAAAUUUUGGUAGGAAAUCUUGCAGAAAAAAUGACAUCAUGAUCUUCUGCUAUAAAGUGAACUAAUUUCUUUGAAAUAUCUCUGUAGAAGUAUGCUUAGAAUUUUCCUUGAAGUGCCAUGAAUUUAUGAUAAAAAUGAUACGAAGAUGUCAUUCUUAUGUGCACAAAUCGUAGCUAGGAACCAAUAAGUGGUGGACUUAUGUGGUGGUUGGACCCGCCUCUAGCCUAGAUUAUGAUCUUCUCAUGAUUUGAUCUUCUCUUAUUUAAAUUUCACUCAUUGGUGAUUUAUAAAUUAAAAAAAAAUAUAAAUAUUCGUUUAGUCUUUAUAUUUUACUAUAAGAGUCUGUUUAGUUAUUUUAUUUUAAAAAAUAUCUUAAGACACCCCUAUUGUUAAAUAUAUUAUAUUCCCACCCUUAAUUUUUCCCUCCCUUUUACAAUGAUAUGCUUACAACAAUAUUCUUAGAAAUAUUAAUGAAAAAUAAAAGAACAUUAAUGUGUCAUAUUAACCUUAAAAGUAAAAUAAAAAUUAUUGAAAAUUUUUAUGUUACUAUUUUAUUUUUAGGAUUAAUUUGAUAAAUUAAUUUUUUAUAAAUAAUUAUAAGUAAGAUUGUAAUAAAGAUAUUAAAUAUUACUUUAAGUUGGAUGAUAUUAAUUUAUCUAUAAAUAAUUAUUAGCAACAUUGUUGCAUGGAUACAAAAAUACCAGUUCUUUCAUGCUAAUAUCUAUUAGUUAAUUUACUAAUAAAUAAUUAUUAUUUAAUUUGCUAAUUCACUUCUUUUAGAUAAACUAAUCAAUGUCAAGAAUAUUGUUGUAAGGAUAUUAUUAUAAAAACAAACAAAAAUUAGGACAAAAAUGUAAUAUACUUAAUUGCAGGAAUGUCUUGAGGCAUUUUUAAAAAUAUAAUAACUAAACAGACUCUCAAGUCAAAAUACAGGGAUUAAAUGAGUAUUUAUCCGUUAAAAAUAAAAGCAGUUAAAUCCUAAUCAUGUACUAGUAUUAAAAGAUAAGAGUUACGAGAUCUUUGAAAACUUAUGAGAACUUAGAUCACCACAAAAAAAGUCAUUAAAACCUUUAAUUUUUUUUAUAUAUAAAAAUGGUGUUUUUAAUUUUUCUCCCAAGUGUAUUCCCAAAUAACUUUCUACCAAAAAACAAUUGAAAUACUAUUUUAUAGUUAAUUAGUUACUCUUGCAUUAAGUCCUUUAAAAUCUAAUAUUAAAUAAGUAAUUUACCAUUUUAAUUGCAGUUAGUGAAUUAUUUCAUUAAAAAAAGUAUUUUAUUUAUAGAGAGGUUCUUAAUGUCGCAUUACUUGAUGUAUAUAUUUUUUAUUCUUUUAUGUACCAAUAUUCACGCAUACAAAUACAAUAACUUUAUAAUUUAGCAUGGGUAAUUAAAGACCCUAGGUGUUCGCCUCUGGAAUCAAUAUGAUUGUAUGAUGCACAUAUGGUAAGGAUCAAUAUUAUUAUAUGAUGCAUAUAUGGUAAAGAUCAAGACCAUCAUGACCAAUGUUAGUGCUAGGAAUUCAAUUUAGUAGGAGCUAAUUUCAAAGAAUAAUAUAAUUUAAUAUGGUCAAAAAUAAAAUAGAAAUUCAUUAACAUAUUCAAUUCAAUACAUUUAUAAUUGUUCUCGACGUAUUUUCAUAUGUUGAAAAUAUUGAAGAAUAAUCUCAUCAUCGAGAUCAGAAAAUAUAUCAUUUUCUAUGUAUGCAAUUAAUUUCUCCCAUCCGAUUUGAUUCUCGAUUCACAAAAGCAUAGUUGAAAAUGCCAUUUCUACUAUAGUUGUGGCAAUGGGUAAAACCAAUACUAAUGUCACUAAUAGAUAAAUUAAUAAGUACAAUUUAUCUUUCUUAAUAUCAUCUAUUUUUCUUGUUAGCUCACCAAUCCCUUUCAAUCUCAAAAAUAUAUUAUCAGACCCACAUCCAUAAUUUAAACAUCAAGUUGAAUUUAAAGUCCCAUAAGAUCCAUUGAAGAAAAAUUAAUUAGAUAAAACUCAGUAAGAUGAGUAACUUUUUAUUAUUUUGUGUGAGGAGGAUUAGGGCCCUACAGAUGUCAAAAUAAUAAUAUUUCUUUGUGGGUUGAAGAUGUAAAACUAAAAAUUUAAUAUUUUAGUUAUUUUUAUAUUUUUACGAGAACAUUUAUUGUAAAUUAAAUUAAAAACAAGACAAAUAUCAAAGUAAAUUUUACAAUUUUUGAAAAGUCAAGCCCUGCUAACUCUAAUGUGGCACCGCCACAGUUGAUGACAUGCACAAAUGGAAAGAAUGAACAUCAUAAUAUACACAUGGCAAGAAUCAAUGCCAUAAUGUCACACAUAUAUGAAAAAAUAAAUAAAUCAAGACCAUUAUGGGCAUGUAGAUAUGGAAGAUCAAUCCUUAUUUAUAAUGUUUGAUUCUUUUCCUUUUAUGUUAUUGAAUAUAUUUAUAGUAAAACCUUAAUAAAUGAAUUGUAUUGGGAUUUGGGUUCACAAAAAAUCUAUUAUACUAAAAUCUCGUUAAAUUAAUAGCAUUGAGACCAUGGAAAGUCUAUUAAUUUAGCGAAUAUCUUGUAAUCGAUAAAUUAAUAAAUUAUUAAUUUAUGAAGAUGUUCCUUAUUUUAGAAAAUAUGAUUGUGAUUUAGUACAUAUUACGUUUUAUUUGAAUAUUAAUUAAUCACAUUAUUUUGGUAGUAAUAAGAUUAUUUUAAAUAUCUGAGAAAAAGAUACCUUAAUCUCUAAGGUUUGAAGGAAUAGUCAUGCAGACCCCAUAUUUUCAAUAAGGGAUAACAAAACCUCUUUUUGACUAAAAUAUCCUUUACCUAUAUUAACUAAAAAAAAGACUUUAAUGUUUUAUAAUAAAUAGAAGUAUAAUAUUAAAAUAUGUAUAACAAUAUAUAUAUUUUAAAAUAAUUUCAAUAUUUAAAAAAUAGGGAAAAGGACAAACACACUCCCAACGUUUAGGUAAAAGGACAAAAACCAGCCUAACGUUUCAAAAAAGAUAUUUAUACCUCAAUUUAUUAUAAUUUUACCAUUAUACCCUUCUAGCAUAUAAAAAAAAUUAUUAGUUAUCUAAUUUGUCUAUAGAUUGUUAAUAAAAUUAUAAAUAUACCCUCAUUGCCUCAUUCUUCUAUUUAAAUUUUUAUCAAUAACCAAUUUUCAAAAUUGACAUCUACACACUUAAAAAAAAUUGUAAAUAAAUUAUAAUUUUAAAAAUAAAAUUGGUUAUUAAUANNNNNNNNNNNNNNNNNNNNNNNNNNNNNNNNNNNNNNNNNNNNNNNNNNNNNNNNNNNNNNNNNNNNNNNNNNNNNNNNNNNNNNNNNNNNNNNNNNNNNNNNNNNNNNNNNNNNNNNNNNNNNNNNNNNNNNNNNNNNNNNNNNNNNNNNNNNNNNNNNNNNNNNNNNNNNNNNNNNNCAGAAAUUUUAAAUUAUUUUCAAUAUUAUAUAAAAUAAUUUUAAUAUUGCUACUGCAAGAGAUAUUUUAUUAAUUGUAAAAUCUAUAUUUUAUUAAUAAUCUAGAUUAAACAAUAGAAUCUUUAGUCUAGACUUGGACCAAUGCACUAAAUUAAUUCUUAACCUGAAGGGUUUUAAAUGCAUAAGAUAAUAAUUUUUUUUAAUGCUGUAAGGCUUAAUAAAAAUAUAAAUUAAUAAUUAGUCAAAUAUAAAAGAUACUAAUCAUAAAUAACAUUUAAAAUUCGUAAUUAAUAAUUAGUCAAAUAUAAAAUAUACUAAUAAUAAAUAACAUAUAAAAUUGGUAAUAUUAGGAAGCUUUUCUUGAUAGUUUUAAUUUUCUCAAUUCAACUCUUUUCUAAAAUAUGCAUUUAAAUUUGAGAUUAAAAAUAAAACUAAUGACCGAUGUAUGUAUAGAGUUUAUGUUCUAUGUACUUUAAACAUCUGAAACAUUUUAUAUUCUAGGGUAUUAAAUUUAAACAGUAUGUAUAUCAUUUUUUGUCUAUGGAUAAUGUAUUUACAUUACUGUUUGAGCUUCUGUGUACAUGUUUGUGGCAUUUUUAAAUUUUUUUUAGUACACAUGCUAACUUUUGAAUUUCAUAUAUAUGAAAAUCUUGGUAAAAGGAAUACUGCACAUGUCAAGAUAACCCAGGCAAUUAAAAUACAAAAUUCUUCUUUAGUAAAUAAAUAUUCAUUUACUGACAAAUUAGUAAACUAUUACUUUAUUGAUAAAUAAAUAAUUUCGUUAAAAUAAUAUUUUUUUAAUCUCAACAAUAUUAUUGUAUAAAAAUUUUGGUCUUUAUUUUUUAUAAAUAGAUAGAAAAAGGACACCUACACCUCUAAAAUUUGGAAAAAUGGUGACAAAAACUCCCAAAUUUUCAAAAAGAGAUACUAAAAUCCCUUUUUGACCAUAAUACCUUUUGAAUAUAGCAAUUAAAAAAAUUGACUUUGAAGGUUUUUAAUUAAUACAAAUUUAAAAUAAAUAAUACAAUCUACCUAGUAGACUAAUAAUAUUAAAUUAUUUUUAACAUUUAAAAUACUAUUAAAUUAUUAAAUUAUUUUUUUUUCUGCUGUACGGCCAAGGCGGAUGUACGGUACAGCAGUAUAUUUUUAUUUAUUAUAAAAUUUUGAGGUCAUUUUUUUUUUAAAUUUAUGGAGUCAAAAUGGGGUCCCAAUGUUCCUUAUUUAAAAAUUAGGAGUUUUUAUUAUCAUUUUUCUAAAUCUUAGGGUGCAAGUGUCUUUUUUCCUAGAUAAAUUUAUUUUAAGUCCCAAAUGAAUGGAGUCGGACGAGCGCCCUCGACAAUUUGAGUGCACCACCGCAAGUCCCCCUACUAACAAGCCUUGGCCACUAGUUGAUGUUUAUUGAACAUUAUCAAGUCAUUUGGUAGUUGGUAGUAAGCUAUCUUUAUAAAGAGUGUGAAAUAGAAUAAAGCUGUAUUGAGCAAUUUAGGCAAAAUUAUCAUGAGAUUUUAGCUCAAGUUGGAAGACAUACAAUAAAUGGAAAUAAAUUAUCCAUCAAUAAAGGCCGGCUGUACAUACUUUUUCUUUUUCGUAGUGAUCUCUCAACUUUUAGUUUGUGGGUCAACAAAAAAGGAGAAAUUCCGAAAGACAACGUGAUGUUGGUGACGGCUCAUGUUUGCCCAUAUUUGGUGAUUUUCAUAUUCACACGUAAUAGAAAAAGAGCUUGACACGCAUGGUUUUAUUAUUAAGUGAUGCGGGGUCACUUCUGCUAACUCAAAAGGAAAAAUAACAAACACACCCCCAACAUUUAGGUAAAGGGACACAAUUUUUUUUAAUGUUUCAAAAAAAAUAUUUACACUCAAAUUUAUUAUAAUUUUACUAUUAUACCCUUCUAGCAUAUAAAAAAAAUUAUUAGAUUAUCCAAUUUGUCUAUAUAUUGUUAAUAAAAUUAUAAAUAGACAAGUUGAAUAUUAUAAAAAAAAUUAUAAAUAUACCCUCAUUGCCCAAUUCCUCUAUUUAAAUUUUUAUCAAUAACCAAUUUUUUAAAAAAAAAUUAUACACCUAAAAAAAUUGUAAAUAAAUUAUAAUUUUAAAAAUAAAAUUAGUUAUUAAUAAGCCAUGUUAGAUUUCUGCGUGCUUUAUUUUCUAGAACAACUGUUCAUCCACAGCAAAAUUAUUAGUUUUUGUUAAAAUUGAAACAAUAUUGACUUAUGGCCCAUUUGAGAUUUGCUUUUGAGAAAUUCAGAAGUGAUUUUGAAAAAUUAAAAAUUAAUUUUGUUGUUCGAUAAAUUUUUUUAAAACUCACAUUUGGUAAAAUCACCUUAUCUUAUAGCAGAUUUUGAGAGCAUUAAAAAAUAUUAUAUGUACAUGUUUAUAUAUGUAUAAAUAGAUUUUAUUCAACAUUAUAUUUAUUUCAAUUAUUUACAUUCCUACAAUAGUUUAAUAGUAAGAUUUAUAAAAUAAAUUUUAUCAAACAUUUAAAUAAUUCUUUUAUAGCUAAUUAUUUCUACAAAACAACUAAUAGAAAUAGUUUUAAAAACUACAACAUUAUCAAACUAGCCCUUACUAAUUCUAGAAAAAAUUAAUAAUUUUGAUACGGAUGAACAAUAAUGUUGACAGUGAUAUUAAACAGUAACUAUGUGAAUGCUAUGCAAAUAGUUUUUUUUGGAAGACAAGAACCAGUAACUAUGUUAACAGUUCUUUAAAAGAAUUAAUUUAGUUAAAUAUUCCUAAAUAAAAUUUAAUAAUUAGCCUGCUGUACCGUACAUCCGCCUGCCCAAUUCCUCUAUUUAAAUUUUUAUCAAUAACCAAUUUUUUAAAAAAAAAUCUACACACUUAAAAAAAAUUGUAAAUAAAUUAUAAUUUUAAAAAUAAAAUUGGUUAUUAAUACCAUAAUAAAUAAGAUAGAUUUAAACUUGUAUAUUUAACAAUUCUCCACAUGUCAAUCAUUUAAACUUAUAUAUUUAUAACUAAUUUUCUAUGUUAUUUAUUAUGGUAUUAAUAACCCAUUUUAUUUUUAUAGGGUGCAAGUGUCUUUUUUCCUAGAUAAAUUUAUUUUAAGUCCCAAAUGAAUGGAGUCGGACGAGCGCCCUCGACAAUUUGAGUGCACCACCGCAAGUCCCCCUACUAACAAGCCUUGGCCACUAGUUGAUGUUUAUUGAACAUUAUCAAGUCAUUUGGUAGUUGGUAGUAAGCUAUCUUUAUAAAGAGUGUGAAAUAGAAUAAAGCUGUAUUGAGCAAUUUAGGCAAAAUUAUCAUGAGAUUUUAGCUCAAGUUGGAAGACAUACAAUAAAUGGAAAUAAAUUAUCCAUCAAUAAAGGCCGGCUGUACAUACUUUUUCUUUUUCGUAGUGAUCUCUCAACUUUUAGUUUGUGGGUCAACAAAAAAGGAGAAAUUCCGAAAGACAACGUGAUGUUGGUGACGGCUCAUGUUUGCCCAUAUUUGGUGAUUUUCAUAUUCACACGUAAUAGAAAAAGAGCUUGACACGCAUGGUUUUAUUAUUAAGUGAUGCGGGGUCACUUCUGCUAACUCAAAAGGAAAAAUAACAAACACACCCCCAACAUUUAGGUAAAGGGACACAAUUUUUUUUAAUGUUUCAAAAAAAAUAUUUACACUCAAAUUUAUUAUAAUUUUACUAUUAUACCCUUCUAGCAUAUAAAAAAAAUUAUUAGAUUAUCCAAUUUGUCUAUAUAUUGUUAAUAAAAUUAUAAAUAGACAAGUUGAAUAUUAUAAAAAAAAUUAUAAAUAUACCCUCAUUGCCCAAUUCCUCUAUUUAAAUUUUUAUCAAUAACCAAUUUUUUAAAAAAAAAUUAUACACCUAAAAAAAUUGUAAAUAAAUUAUAAUUUUAAAAAUAAAAUUAGUUAUUAAUAACCAAUUUUAUUUAAAUUUUAAACUUGUAUAUUUAACAAUUCUCCACAUGUCAAUCAUUUAAACUUAUAUAUUUAUAACUAAUUUUCUAUGUUAUUUAUUAUGGUAUUAAUAACCCAUUUUAUUUUUAAAAAUUAUAAUUUAUUUACAAUUUUUUUAAGUGUGUAGAUGUCUUUUUUGAAAAUUAGUUAUUGAUAAAAAUUUAAAUAGAAGAAUGAGGCAAUGAAGGUAUAUUUAUAAUUUUAUUAACAAUAUAUAGACAAAUUAGAUAAAUAAUAAUUUUUUUUUAUAUGCUAGAAGGAUAUAAUGGUAAAAUUAUAAUAAAUUGAGGUGUAAAUAUCUUUUUUGAAACGUUAGGGGGGUUUUUGUCCCUUUAUCUAAACAUUGGGGGUGUGUUUGUCCUUUUUCCAACUCAAAAUUUCUAACUAGUAAAUGGAAGAAAGACAUUUAGUCCCUAAUAUUUCUCAUAUUUACCACUCAGGUCCUUAAUUAAUUUUGUAUUACCCAUUAUAUCACAGAUGUUAUAAAAUCCACAAUUGAACAUUACCGUUUAAUGAUAAAAAUGACCUAUGCAAAAUAUGUACUUUUUGAAGAAUAAAUCACAUUAGAUUGAUAGGAAGGUUAUAAUAUUAAAGAAAUAAAAAAAUAUUUUCUUUUUCAACUGUAGUUUUGACGUCAGAGAAAUAAUAGACAAUUAAAAUAAAUUGGGGACCUAAAUGAUAAAUAUGACAAAUAAGAAGGUUCUAACUGUCCUUCUCCCCAAAAUAAAAUAAAUGUCGUUUCCAACCCCAAUAUUAAUGUUUAGUAAUAUUUUACCUAAAGUUUAAGUUUUUGAGUCAAAAGAGUAAUUAAUCCGGCACCUUUCCAUUUCAAUGUCAUAAUUUUUCUUUUCAGUAAUAUUAUGUUUAUUAAGUUAGAAUACUUAGGGGUUGUUUGUUUGUAUUAUUAUUUUUUGACUUAGUGACUUAAUUGACUUAAUUUUAUUUAUUUAAGUCAUUAAGGUGACGUUUGUUUUUUAACUUAAUGACUUAAAGUGACUUAACUUAAUUAAUUAAGUUAAUUAGAGGUGUUUGUUUUUAUAACUUAAUGAGACUUUUUAGAUAAUUUUGACUUAAUAAAAUAAGACAAUUUUUUUAGCUUUUUACUUAAUGGAGAAAUUUGAAUUAAGUCAAUUACUUACUAAUGUAAAAAAUAUCCAUGUUUUAUAAUUUAUUUUUCAUGUCUAUCCCAAAACUCACCCAUAGACAUUUACCCCACAUAAAAAUAUCCCGGUUUUUUCUUUCUUAUAUUAUAUACGAUAAAAUUUAAAAUUUAUGGUAUUUUAUAUAUUAAAAUUAUAAAAUAAUUAUGUAUUUACUUAAAUAUAGUUUUAUUUAUAAACGUUAAAAUAUUGUGGUAUUUAAUAUAUUAUUUAUUUGACAUUCAAAUUUAAGAAGGAUACAAAUGUAAAAGUACAUAAUUUCAGUUUUUUCAGUUGAAAAAAACAAACAAUUUAAUACUUGUUUUCCGAGAUUCAGACGAAAAAACAAACAUAUUAUUCAGAUUCAGACAUUCAAAUCUAUUCAGAAUUCAGACUAAUUCAGGUCUAUUCAGAUUUCAGACAAAAAAACAAACGCCGCCUAAGUCUAUUUAUUUUUUCAACUUAAUGAAAAAUUUCAACCAUUAAGUUAUUAAGAUUAUUUUUUUAACGUUUUGCUUAAUCUAAAAUGCAUGAAUGAUAUCAUUAAAAGAUUUUUUCGUACCGUACAUCCGCCUUGGCCGUACAGCAGUAUAUAUAACUUGUGAUAAUAUAUAUUGGUAGACUACUAUUAUUUUUAUCUUUUUAUUUUCUUCAAAUUGGCAUUAUUUAUCUUUAUAAUUUUUUAUGAAUAUUUUUCAUAUAAAAACAUCACAGACCAUAAUAAAAUUGAUUAACACAUACAAUAUAAAAUAUUAAAGAGUUGUAUUCAAUUGGAUAUGAUUUAUGUUAUGAUAAUUUAUUAUCUUAUAUUCUUUUAUGUUAUGAUAAUUUAUUAUUUUAUUUAUAUUCUUUGAGAUGUUUAUCAUUUGUUUAACAUUAUAAUUUGUAAGGGUAUAAAUGUAAAAAUAUGAGUUUUCAAAAUUUUUAAGUUAAAAAAAAACAAACAACUUAAUAUUUAUUUUUAGCGAUUUAAACAAAAAAACAAACAUAUCAUUCAGAUUCAGAUAAUCAGUUUUAUUCAGAAUUCAGACUAAUUCAGGUCUAUUCAAAUUUCAAAUAAAAAAAAAAUGCUACCUUAGUGUAUAUCUCAAUUGACGUAAUAUCAAUCACUUACUACAAUGUACAUGGUAUUAAUUGAUUUUAUUAUUGACCAUUUAUUGUCAAACUUAAUUAAUAGGAUAACAUAUAAAAUGACAUAUUAGUUGGUUACAAACUAAGCAUCCCAACUAAGUAAGCAUGACGUUACUUUUAAGGGUAAAAGCUCAUUUAGUUCUUUUAUUUUAAUAUUAGUGUCCAUUAGUCCUUGUAUUUUUUAAAAUGUCUCGAAACAUCCCUGUCGUUAAAGUAUUGAUACCCCUACCGUUACUUUUUAUUUCUUUUGGCUUACUUUUAUAAUAUUACCCUUUUAUAAUAAUUUUUUUGGAUAUUAAUAAAAAGAAAAUAAUUAAAUUACCAAUUUAACCCUAGAAAAUAAAAAGAUUAUAUUAUUUUUUUGCAAGCACCAUUUGCACACUUGGUAGUUUGCAUACAAUUUUUGACAAUUUAAUUUUUGAUAAUUAAAAAUUAAUAUAAUUUUUUUAAUUUUUAGGGUUAAAUUGGUAAUUUAAUUAUUUUCUAUUUAUUAAUGUCCAAACAAAAAAUUAUUAUAAAAGGGUAAUAUUGUAAAAAUAAGCUAAAAGAAAUAAAAAGUAACGGUAGGGGUAUUAAUACUUUAACGGCAGGGAUAUUUCCAGGUAUUUUUAAAAAUAUAGGAACUAAAUAGAUACUAAUCUUAAAAUAUAGGAAUUAAAUGGAUUUUUACCCUACUUUUAAUUUUUAAUCUGAUUUGAUUCAAAUAUGUUAAUAACCUAAUAAAUCUUUUGUUAGACCAAAUGCAUAACAUAUUAAGAUUGGAACUUUAUCUAAUAGCUUAAUUUUUGGGCAGUAAGUGGUUACUGAACAAUAUGUCAUUCAUUAUUAGUUAUACAAAAUUUAUAUAGAUUAUGUCAACCCAAAAGUCAAGUGUAGAAUUGAUUUUCAAAUUCUCUGGAACAUAGGGUAGCAUUUUUGGGUUUUUAUUUAAGUUACAUAAAAUAUAAAAUAUAACUUACCUACACUCUUAAAAUUUACAUUUCAUUGUAGAUCAUAUUCUUAUAAGAAGUUUUUGAAGAAAUAUUUUUUAUCUGAAAUUUAAAUAAACCUGAAUUUGUCUGGGUUUUGAAUAGAGCUCAAUAUCUGAAUUUAAAUGACAUGUUUUCUUUCUUUUUUAUUUAUUUAUCUAAAUCACUAAAAAUAAGUACUAAGUUAUUUUUAAUUUAAAAUAUCUGAAAACCAGUAUAUAAAUAUUAUACGCUUACAAAUUAUAAAUAUUAAACAAAUAACAAACAUCUCAUAGAAUAUAAAUAAGAUUAUAUACUAACAUAAAAUAAAUCGUGUUCAAUUGAAUACAACCCUUUAAUAUUCUAAAUUAAUAUAUGUUAAUUAAUUUUGUUGUGGUUUAUGAUGUUUUUAUAUGAAAAGUAUUGAUAGAAAAUUAUAAAGAUGAAUAAUGCUAUUUUGAAGAAAAUUAAAAGCCAAAAGUAUUAAUAGUCUAUCACUACAUUAUCAUAAGAUAUAAAGAUGUGUAAAAAUGCUAAUUAGUAAAUUUUAUAUAGGAAAGGAUGAAAAUUAAUGAAUUAGAUAGGGGCAUUUUUGAGAAUAUAUUUUAAUGAUGUCAUUUAGACUUUUUAGAUUAGGGAAAAAAAGGUUAAAUAAAUUCUUUUAAUAAUUUGAUGACUAAAAUUUUUCAUUAAGUUAAAAAAAAGACUUAAUAAAUUAACUAAUUAAAAUUAAGCCAAUUAAGUCAAUAAAUUAAAAAACAAUAGCGAUCUAAAUUAAUGAUAGUACUCAACUUCAUAUAUAUAGAUUUUUUUUUUUUUGGGAUAAAUUUCAUAUAAAUACAAUAAAUAUCUGUUGUUUGUUUCAAUCAGAAUAUAGAAAGGAUAAACAGGUCCACUUCACUUUAUGUUUGAGGUAUCAACAUUCGAUCCAGCUAGGAAUCAAAGGUAGGAAACUUACAAGCAAGAAAAAAGAACUAAUCAAAAUAAAGUGGGAUUCUAUGAGUGGUGCUAAAAUUAAGAGCGGCACCACAGAAAAGUUAUAUAAAUAGCUUCACACAACUCGUAAUUCAUCAUCCAACCUACCAACAAAAUUUCAUCACUUGAAUAGUCUUACUACUUUUGUAGGUUGUUUGUGUAUUUGUUUGUGCUUAGUGUUGUUGAGUGUUUGUUUGUGUUUAGUGUUGUUGAUAUGUCUAGCAGGGAGAGAGACCCUCUUAUUGUUGGCCGCGUUGUUGGUGAUGUUCUUGACAAUUUUACAAGAACAAUUCCAAUGAGGAUUACCUAUUCAAACAAGGAUGUUAAUAAUGGCCGUGAGCUCAAACCUUCUGAAGUUCUGAACCAGCCUAGGGUUGAAAUUGGUGGUGAUGAUCUUAGGACAUUUUAUACUUUGGUAAUAAUUAAAUAAGCCUUUGCUUUUGCCUUUUGCUUCUGCUUCUGCUUUUGCUUCUACUUGUGCUACUGCUUUCUAGGUCUUUUAUACGGUGAGCAUUUGCUGCCACUGUUUCAGGUAAUGGUUGAUCCUGAUGCACCAAGCCCAAGUGACCCCAGCCUUAGGGAGUAUUUGCAUUGGUAAGUGCUCUUUUCUAGAUCUCAAAAACACACACAUUAAAACAUACAUAUACUCUGCUGUACCGUACAUCCGCCUUGGCCGUACAGCAGAUAUUAUUNNNNNNNNNNNNNNNNNNNNNNNNNNNNNNNNNNNNNNNNNNNNNNNNNNNNNNNNNNNNNNNNNNNNNNNNNNNNNNNNNNNNNNNNNNNNNNNNNNNNNNNNNNNNNNNNNNNNNNNNNNNNNNNNNNNNNNNNNNNNNNNNNNNNNNNNNNNNNNNNNNNNNNNNNNNNNNNNNNNNNNNNNNNNNNNNNNNNNNNNNNNNNNNNNNNNNNNNNNNNNNNNNNNNNNNNNNNNNNNNNNNNNNNNNNNNNNNNNNNNNNNNNNNNNNNNNNNNNNNNNNNNNNNNNNNNNNNNNNNNNNNNNNNNNNNNNNNNNNNNNNNNNNNNNNNNNNNNNNNNNNNNNNNNNNNNNNNNNNNNNNNNNNNNNNNNNNNNNNNNNNNNNNNNNNNNNNNNNNNNNNNNNNNNNNNNNNNNNNNNNNNNNNGGGUUGGACAACAACAACGAAAUUUUAUUACAUAAAAAAAUACGACAUUUAGAAGGAACCUAAUUAAGCUUACCUCCAAAAAAAAAAAAGGAAAAAACGCUAAAAAACAUCACGAACUUAUCAUCUUUUUUCUAUUGUUUUCAAAUAAUAAUUUUAUUUUAUAUCUACUUGGCGGUGAAUCCAUCAUCAAUUUUGUCCUCUUAUUUCCCAUAAAUUCCACCUCCCUCAUUUAUGCUUACCUCUGGUUUUCUUGAUUGUGAUGAUUACAACUUGCAAGUACAUGUGUUCGCGGUAAGUGAUCACCUUUUUUCUUUGGAUUAAUUAGAAAUUUGCUGCUUUUUGAAAAUGAAAUUUCAGGUUGGUGACUGAUAUUCCAGCAACCACAGGGGCCAGCUUUGGUGAGUGCCAGACUUUAUAUUAAAUCAAACAAUAUUGCACGGUCCUUUCUACUUGUGAAUGAGUUGUUUCAUGUUUCAGCUUUUACACUGUAGCUAUAGCUUUUGGUCUUUUUUCUAGCCCUUGUGGACAAAGCAAGAGAUCUUGUCGUUAGUUUUCAAGUUUUUUACUUAAAACAAUUACCCUCCAUUUCCUUUCCUUAUUUCCCUUCUUUGCUUACAGAGUAAGAGCGCCAUCUCUUUCAUCCACUUCCACACUCGAUCUGUCAAUUGGCUGUGGCCAGUGAUUUUUUCUUUUUCCCUCCUUAAUUAAACAAAAUUUCAUUAAAACCACAACCAAAAUAAAUACAUUUUAUUAAAUCUUUUUGGAUUUCUGUACGACUGAGCCAUUCUUAGUUAGGUUUCACACAGAAUAUUAUUCGUUAAGCAAGAAGCAAAAUAUUUCAUUAUCACUUGACCAACUAGUCAAUUAUACAUGUUCGCUAAUUUGUUUCAUUUGCAUAUAUUGUUACAUAUGCAUGCAGGCCAAGAGAUUGUGAACUAUGAAAGCCCUAGUCCAACGAUGGGGAUUCACAGGUUUGUCUUUGUGUUGUUCCGGCAACUUGGGAGGCAGACUGUUUAUGCACCAGGGUGGCGUCAGAACUUCAGCACGAGGGAUUUUGCUGAGCUUUACAAUCUGGGACCUCCGGUGGCCGCUGUCUACUUCAACUGCCAGAGGGAGAGCGGAUCCGGCGGAAGGCCUGUCAGACGAUGAUCCAUACAUGCUUAAUUUGAUAUCAAAUUACACACAAACACACACACACACACACACUAUAUAUAUAUAUAUAUCCAAAAUUAAGAGCUAGCUAGUGUUAACAUUAUUAUGUCAUGGUUAAUCUUCCUCUCUGGCUUUCUCACAUUUUAUUGUAACGUACUCUGAAGAUGAAGUUAAAUACUUCAAACAGUGAGAAAGGAAGAUUGUUGUACUGUGUAUACAAUUAAUUAGAUUGUAAUAAAAAGAGAUGGAUUUUUUUUUUUUUUUUUGGAAAAAAAUAAUUGUAUGCAUGUUAUUUGGCGAUGCUGUCCAUAUUGAAUCGAAGACAUGAAUGAACGUUUUGGUAUUUGUGUUAUUUAAUUAUAUAUUUUUAAAAAUUUUUGUAUCCAAUAAUAUUAUUCCAUUUAAACUGUGCAAGGAAAUAGCAAUAAUAAUGAAUUUGUAAGUAAAAUAAUUUAACCUAUUUUUAUUCAUUAUGUUCACUUUUAGGGAGAUCACUAGUUUUCUCUUUCUGAAACAAUAUAUACCAUUUACUCUCUUAAUAUUUUUUAUAAUAACUAAUAACUAGGUGGCACCAUAAUUUUAUAGUAUUAUUUUUAUUUUUAAAUACACUUUUAUUCAUAUUUAUUAUUAAAAAAAUUAAGUACUAAAAAUAAGAAAUAUGUGUUUCGAUGUGAAUAAAAAAUUAAUAAUAAUAUAUUUUUCUUGUACUUUUUUUAUGUUUUAAGUACUUUUCUUAUAAUAAAUUUAUAUUUUAUAUUUUCAAGAUAAAUUAUCAAGUCUUUAAAUUGUGGUGCUAGGGAGUCUUUGGGUAUUAUGAUAACAAUAGAAGAAUAAAUGAUACAAAUUAAUGUCAAUAAAGAAUAAAUUGACAAUCUCCCUAAGCAAAAGGUAUAAUUAUACUCUCUAGCUAAUGUAUGGAUAUGUGUGAUUGAGUUUUUAUGGACAUUUAUGUCUCUGUAUGUGGAUUUGUUAGAAGAUUUCUGUUUGGCUGAUUAACUAGAUUGUAUGUGGCAUGCAUGCCCACGAUUAAAUACUAUUUCUGUAGUAUUUUUUUGUUAUUUAAUUCUUUGUAAUCAAGUCUUUAAAUUGUGGUGCUAGGGAGUCUUUGGGUAUUAUGAUAACAAUAGAAGAAUAAAUGAUACAAAUUAAUGUCAAUAAAGAAUAAAUUGACAAUCUCCCUAAGCAAAAGGUAUAAUUAUACUCUCUAGCUAAUGUAUGGAUAUGUGUGAUUGAGUUUUUAUGGACAUUUAUGUGUCUGUAUGUGGAUUUGUUAGAAGAUUUCUGUUUGGCUGAUUAACUAGAUUGUACGUGGCAUGCAUGCCCACGAUUAAAUUCUACUUCUGUAGUAUUUAUUUGUUAUUUAAUUCUUUUAAAGUCUGGAUUAUUAAAAAAAAAAAAAUAAUACUCUUUCAAGUAAAUCUUGUAUAAGAAAUCAAUCCCUUAUCAGAAAGGAUUUCCUAUUGCUAUAUUUACUCCACGAUUCUCUCUACAGUGUUCUUCAAGGAUGCUAUUUUGUUCAGCGUAAGUUUAGGAGCCAACAAAUUCUUUCCUUCUUUGUUCUCUUUAACUAAAAACAAACUGAAACAUGUUGGACAAACAUUAGAACUGAAAAAAAUUACUGUUAAAGGAUUUGUAUCAACUACGAAUGGAAUAUUCGUAAUGCCUUUGAUUCUCGUAAUUAUUUUUCAAAGAUGAUAGGAGAUAUAUAGAAAAUAAAAAGGGCAGGACAUAUUUAAGAGGUGAGCUGAAGUUUGACAGACUUUUAAAGGAACUAUUGUUAAAUGUAAGGGUAAUAUUUUCUGGGUCCCUGAUCUUUUAUAGUUUCUCAAGUAAGGGUAUAAUUUUUCACUGGGCCUAAUUCUCAGCUGUAACCCAUGCCUGAAAAUACUUGAAGGCAUGAGUUUGACACCUCGUAGGCGAUGAUUCUACCUUCUAUUCUAUAAGUAUGGAUUAGGAGUAUAUUUCUCCUGGCUUAUUUGUGGGAUAAAUUUUCAAAUAAUCUUUGACCGAUUUUGAAUUAAGCUAUAAGUGAAUGUAUUUAAAAUCUCAACAGAAUUCAUAUUGUGAUAUAUUUAUAAAUUGUAACAAGCUCGUAAAAAAAAAGGCAAGGGCAUAAUUUAUUCAGUUAUACUAAUAAGUGCAUAAUUUUAUUUUAUUUAUUUUUAAAUUUUGCUUUUAUAUUAUUAGCUUAAUUGAGUUGGUCGGCGUUGGUUAGAAGUUGUCAACAAUUAACUUUUUCUUAUAAAUGAAUAAAUUAGAAAAAUAACCGUUCAGUAUUAAGUUUCGGACGGUUAUUUCGUUUGAAGUCCAAUAUUAACUAUUUCUUUUUGCUUCAAAAACAAGUCCAAUUGCAACUUGUUAUUUGUCAAUCAAACAUUUUAGGGUGUUCAUUGUUUUUGUCGGAGUACGUUUUCAUCUUAACGGACAGAGUUAGAAAAACAAUUUUUUAACACACACACACACACACACACACACACAUAUAUAUCCUUUAAUCAUAUUAUAAUUAUGUGUUUGGUUUCCCCCCUUUCUUUGUUUCUGUACAAACUUCUUCCUUCCAUGGGUAUGGAUGUGGAACCUCCGAUAUCACACCUGAGGAUGCUCAGAUUCUAUGGUUCUAUCACUAUCUUCAUAUAUAUUGAAAAAUCAGUAACUUUAAGGUUUCAUUUGGAAUUGUUGUUGAAACGCCAAGAGUAGCAGAGUUCAAAAUUUUUAUUAAAAAUUUUUUUGAUAAUUUUUUUAAAUCUUCAUAUAUUAAAAAUUUCUUCAUUUUAACAUCAGUCUUAAAAGGAUGUUGGGAGUUAUUUUUUUGAAGUAGAUUAUAAAAGAAUCCCCACAUAAUAACACUUUUAGAUUACUUCUACGAUCACCUUAUUAAUUAUUAUUUUUUUAUAGGAAGCUUACUAAUUAGUUCAUUUAACAGAAAAACCAUGGAGAUAGGGCCUAGCUCCACCUGCUAGUGGAUAGUUUUACCAAGAUUUAAGUUUUUGGUUUGAAUCUUAUGUAGCGUGCAUGUAUGUUUAAUUAAUAAAUUAAAAAAAACAACCAUCAUAUCUUAAUUUCCCAUGGCUACUAUGAAAUUAUAGUCUCAUUAAAUUAUAUUGCCACAAUUACUAUCUUUCACAUAUUUACCACAAUUAAAAUUUUUUAUUUGGUAAGCUCAUUUAUUUUUAUAUAGUACUUUUAUCUUCAAAUAGUUUAUUAUUGAGUUUAAAGAAGAAGCACUGCAACUGAUAUUUCAUUACUUGAUUGUAAUUAUAUAAUGGAUAAAUGCUUGUUUAUUCCCUAUAUUUUAAUUUAAGAGUCAAUUAGUUCCUAUAUUUUGUAGGGGUGUUCACAUAUCGGAUUUUACGCAUUAGACAUCAAUCCAUAUCCGAUCCAUGAUUUUGUGGAUUAUAAUUUUUCAAUCCAAUCCAAUCCACGGAUUGAAUAAAUUCAAUCCAAAUCCAAUCCAUACAUCUACGGAUUGGAUGCGGAUUUAACUCAAUCCAUAUCUAAUCCAUACGUCUGAGGAUCGGAUGCAGAUUUAACUUAAUCUCAAAAGAGAUGGGAUCAUGUGGGAUCCUGUCCCAAAAGAGAUGGGAUCAUGUGGGAUCCCAUCACAAUUGAAAAUAUUAUCAUUCUUAGUCGGCAAUGAGACGGAUGGGACGGAAUUUGUCAAUCUCACUCUCGUCUCGUGUAUGCAAGUGGGAUAAAAAAAGGUCCCAGUCCCGUUCCUAAAUUUUUUUAUGGGACAAAAAUAUGUCUCAAUCCCAUCCCAAAUUGCCAUCCCUACCAUGAACUAAUGAAAUAAAAAAAUCUAAUAUAAAAAUAAAUUCACUACUGAUUAAAUUAAAAAUUGAAUAAAAUUUAAAUAAAUUAACUGUUUAAAUAAAAAUAAAAUAAUACAUUCAUAAUUUUAAAAUAUAACACAUCGAGAUUAAUUGUUCAAAUAAAACUAUAAUAAUAUGUUCAAAGUUUCAAAAUAUAACACUAAGAUUAAUUGUUUAAAUAAAGUAACAAUAGUAUAUUAAUAUAACACUGAAAUUAAUUGUUCAAAUAAAGCCACAAUUAAUUGAAAUGGCGAAGUUUCUGAAACCAAACACAGUCUGAUCCUUCACCAGGGCUGUUGUGCUUGUCGAAAAGUGGUGAUUACGGAGCCGUCAACGAUGGGAACCAGGAGAAGCCAUAUGGGUGGCGAUCUUGAAGGUUGUGAUAGUGCAAUUGUUCGGCUGGAACCAAUGAUUAUGAAGUGGCUCGAUGGACUCGGGGAAGAAGAUGGCUUGCUCUAGCUGGAAUCGCGUGGCCGACGUCCUUCAAAUCGGUGUUGAGAGUGUAUCGAACCAGUAUUGGGUGUUGCUAGUACGUGUGACGGCAGGGAAGCUUAGGGUUUUUUGUUUGCAAAUUGUUGGUGACUUGCAUUAUGUUACUUUGCUUUUUUUAUUUUGUUUUACAAUUUUUACAAGUUAUAUUUGUAUAUUUGAUUAUUUAAUUAUUUUUUAUUUUUUAUUAUUAUUGGGUAAUGGCUAAGAUAUAUUAUAGUGUUUAUGCAAUAUUUUUUAAAUUAAAUUUAUAAUAUUUUUUAAAUUAAAUUUAUAAUAUUUUUUUAACUAAAUAAAUAAAUAAUUUUUUUUGUGCGAAUUCACGAAUUUUUGUGGAUUUACAGAAGUAAAUCCAUAUCCAAUCCAUCGAUUGCGGAUUUUUAAAUUUCCAAUCCAUAUCCAAUCCAUCAAUCCACUGAUCGGAUUUAUACGGACCGGAUUUUCACGGAUCAGACGGAUUGAGCGGAUCGGAUUAGAUUCUGAACACCCCUAAUAUUUUGAAAAGUACCUCAAAACACCCAUAUUGCUAAAUAUAUUUGUUCCUACUCAUAAUUCUUCUUCUUCUUCUUCUUUUUACAAUGAUACCCUUACGACAAUAUUCUUGAGGAUAUUAAUAAAAAGAAAAAAAUGUUAAUUCCUCUAACUGACCUUAAACAAAAAAAAAAUUAAUGUAAAUUGUUAUGUUAUGUAUUUAUUUUUAGGAUUAAUUUGGUAAAUUAAAUUUGUAUGUAUAAUUAUUAGUGAGAUUGUUGUAAGGAUGUUAACGUUACUUUAAGUUGGCUGAUAUAAUUUAUUUAUAAAUAAUUAGUAGCAAGAUUGUUACAAAGUUAUAAAAAAAACUAGAUCUUUUAUACUGAUAUUUAUUGAUUAAUUUACUACUGAAUAAUUAUUAUUUAAUUUUCUAAUUAACUUUUUAAUCGAUCAAUUAAUUAAUUUGAAGACUAUUGUUGCUAGGGCAUUGUUGUAAAAGUAAACAAAAAAGUGAGGGAAAGAAUGUAACAUAUUCAAUAACAACGUUAUAUUAAGGUAAGUAAAAAUACAAGGGCCAAACAAGCAUUUAUCCUUAUAUAUUAUUAUAGUUCAGAAUAUGGUUUUGAAAAAAUCAUAUGAAAAAAUCAAAGGCCAUAUUUUUAUACAUAUGUUGAAAAAAUCAAAGGCCAUUAUGUGCAUCUAGAUUUAGAAGACAAUUUCUCAUGUGUAGUGCUUGAUUAUUUUCCAUUUAUGUUAUUGAAUACUGAAUAUAUUGCAUAAAUAUUUCUUUGAGCAACUGAGAAAUUAUAUGAAGGAAGUUUUAUUUAUUUCUUGAAAUCGCUCAAUAUAUCCCCACAAUACAAAACAGCAGGCCAUUUAUAAUGAAACUUUAUCUACAAUGUACAUGUCUCUCGCAAUCUUCUAGAGUGAUCUAGAUGGAUUAAGCCUUCAUUGGUGGGUGGGGUCCUAAGUGUUUGAUCAAAUGCUGUAAUGCACUGUCAAGAAAUAUGUGAGGCGUGAUACAAAGUUUAGCAAACGUACAUGUAGCUUGAAAAUCUGGAUCCAUUAAAAGCCAGACAUUUCCCAUUCUCCUAAAUUAAUAUUUGGACCUACUCCGCCUAUAUUUUUUGUAAAUAGAUCUAUGAUGUAUACCCCUAUGAAUGGUGUGGAGCGAGCGCCUUGAACAAUUUGAUGGCACCACGCCACCACCCCUCUAACAAGCCUUGGUGGCAACUAGUUGAUAUUUAUUGAACAUUAUGAAAAGUUUGAAAUAGAAUAAAGUUGUAUUGAGCAAUUCAGGCAAAACUAUCAUGUGAUUCCUUUCAAUUUAAGUUGGAUGACUGACUAUAAAUGGUAUACGAUCAAUUAUCCAUUAAUAUAUCAAAGGCCGCUGUAUUUACAUUUUUCUUUUUCUUAUUGAUCUCUCAACUUCUAAUUUGCGUAUCAACAAUAAGAUAAAAUUUCCAAAGACAAUGUGAAGUGGGCGAUGGCUAAUGUUUGCUCAUAUUUGGUGAUUUCAUUCAAACACGUAAUAGAAAAUGAACUUGGAGUAUAUGGUUAUAUUAUUAAGUAAAUACGUGGUCAAUUUGAUAACUGAAUAUCCGACACCAAAAUAAAAUUAACGUUGUUCCCCACCGUGAUAUUAGUGUUAAGCAAAAUUUUACCUAAAGCUUAACUUUUGAGACAGGAGAGUAAUUAAUAAGGCAUUUUCCGUUUCAAAGCCUUUACUUUAUCUUUAUUAUUAUUUUUUAGAUUGGGAUUAUUGGCACCCCUCCAAAUAUCUUUUACCAUCCUUUUUCCUAAUUAACCCCAUUAAAAUAUUUUAAAAAAUUAUAAAAUUCUUUUAAUACCUUCAUCAAUGACAAAAAUACUCUUAAUUAAAAUUAUUAGUGUAAACCCAAUUCUCUGAUUUUUAUUUAUUUUAAUUAUUGUUGGGUGAUUUCUAUUGCAAUAGGUGUCAAUGUGCAAGUGUACAUAACAAAUAAUAUACUGAUGAGUAUUCAGAUUGUCUCUACAAGGAUUGAUGUUAUCAGAUUUGCUACAGCAAUUUUAACAGUGUAAUUUCAGUCUAGAUUAAAAUAAAAUAAUUAAUAAGACUAAUGAACUAACUAAAUUAAAGUAAAUGCAAUAAAUAAAAUAUUGUAAGAAAAAUUCUCAAACCAAACACAAGGACGAACUCAAUGGGAAAAAAGUAGUUGAGUGAUUAAACUCACUUAAUGGCAUUGACAAUUUUUUUUUUCAAUUUCAGUACCGUUGCUACAGCAUCUACUACAGUACUGGGUAGAAUCCCUCAUGUAUCCUCAAAUGUUGCAUGUUGGAUAUCUUAUACCUAAUGCAACAUAACAGUGAAAAAUUGUUAAACUAACAUUAGAUACAACAUUAAACGUUAUAGGUUCCAUUUACCCUAUGAGGUGAAUCUCUAUGUCUAAUUCUUCACUAAUUUUAGAUCAAGCAUGACCCUAUUCAAAUUGAGAUUAACUCAAUUUGAGAAACACAAUCUAAAACCAAGUAUUGUCUUAAUUUGUUCCACUAAGUCACACAUUUUUUAGGCUCUUUUUUAGCUAGUAUCCACUAAAUGUGUGGUCGACCGAAAUGCGAAUUGCAAUGAGUGAAAUUAAGACAAAAUGCUGCAGCAAGUUCAGAGUAAUACGCAUAUAACAAUCAAUUAACCAUUAAGCUUGUUCAUCACCCAACCACAAUAAUAUUUAGUUCAUGAUUUGCGAUAGAACAGUAACAAAAAUUGUUUUAGCCAUCAAAUACAUUCGCACAAAUAAAUAAAAACAAGAAACUAAGAUAAAGAGUUGAAGUUCACUUGAUCUUGCAAUCUCUCCUUCUUAUUCUCUGUGAAUCCUCUGUUGCAGCCCUCAAUUCUCUCUUAAUUUAUGUUUUCUUGUUGUUUUUCUCUGCUAUUUUCCUUGAGUGACAACUCUCCCUCUUUUUCUUUUCAUGCGUGCUCCUUUUAUAACUUGGAAUUAGAGCAACCAAAAGCAUGUGGACGCGUAUCUCCCAUUUUUGGAAACUUCAUAUCACAAUCUUUCAGUUAACGCGCUUGAAAUCCAGUCUAUCGUUGCUACAGAAUUGCUGCAGCAACAACUACAACAUCUUCACUAUUUCAUACUUGUUUUAACUCAUCUACAGUCAAGUUCUUUUGUCAUCUUUGCAAGUCUAUUGCAGUAGUAUUCCAUCCAUGAAACUUGAGCUUUUGGGUCUCCUACAAUCAUGCACACAUUCUAAGCACCAAAUGAUCUAAAAUAAGAUUGAUUUAUCAAAAUUAAACUUAAAUAAAUAUUUAUGCAAAAUAUAACUAAAAUGAAACAAAACACAUCAUUUACUCUCUAAAUAAUAUUGAUUUAAGCCUAAAAGUACCCUGAUAACUCUCAUGUUAUAAAGUUAUCAAUUAUUAAACCCCUUUUCAAUAAUAAUUUCUUCCAUUCAAAAGAAAAAAAAAACAACAAGUUUUUAUUCUUCCCAUUAUAGCCACCGGUGGUAAAUUCUUCACCCAAAAAUUAGAGGAAAAAAGCAAACUUCUUAAUUUAUAAAAUGUUAGAUUUUUUAAAGAGAAAAAAAUUAUUUGACUUUUACGUGGGGGCUUAAUUAGAAAUUAUCCUAUUAAGUAAUUUUAAAUAAAAGUUAAAAUUGUAUAAUAAUUAAAUGGGUUUUAAGAGAUAUUUGGACGGAUGCCAAUAGUCCCACUCUUUUUUUUUGUCUCAUAUGAUUCAUAAAUCCUAAUUCUUGUGUUCGACCUGACCAAUUACCUAUCAAGUUGGAAUCCUUAUCUAUAAUUUUAUGCCUCAUUGCACAUGCCAACAACAUCAAAGUAUUGUUCUAGCCUAAAUAGGAAGCUGUCUAAGACUAUGGCGUUGCUUGUGCCAUCAUAGGUGUCAAGGCUCGGCACAUCAAUGCGGCGAGCAUUCACUUUAGAUUGUGGAAGCUAGGUUAUCAUAGAGUGUGCGCUUGUGCUAGGACUAAUCCGAGCAAAUUUCCUCCACUUCCAGACGGAUUGCUCGUAGCUCGUUUUACACGAAGCUACAAAGUUUAAGCAACUCAUCAUGGAAGGCUCGAAAUGCCCCUUGAAGGGUGUUGGCUUGGUUUUGGAUGAGGGCCUUAGUGGCUAUUGUAAAGUCAGCAUACUCGCCCUUAAGACCAUCUACGCUUUCCUCUAAGCUUUUGAAGGUGUCCUGGGUCGUGGAUAUUGAUGUUUCGAGCAUGGCAACGUGAGGUUCCAAGGCAUCAAUGGAGGUGGCCUUGGACUUUCCACAGGACUUGUCCUACGUGCGUCCCUCCUCGUAGCAACCGGUUCUUUAUGGUGGCUCCACACGAACAAUGCCCUCUUAUGAUGUGCUAGGAGUCAAAGGGUUGGCCAUUGCUCAUAAGCUAGAUUGUGUGGAUGCAAACCUCAGCUCCAAUACCAUUUGUCACGGGGUGAGUAUGUUGCACAACAAUUCAAGUGAUACUUAGACAGUUUCUAGCACAAAAGUUUCUAAAUAAGCCUAUCAAAUUUCUCAAGCUAGCUAAGCAAGAUGCUUGCGAGAAAGAUAGAGAGAAGAAAGCAAUAUAGCCAAAGAGAAUUUUAUUACUCAAAAGAGAGAAUACAAGAAAGCUUUACAAGUGUGCUUGAGUUGCUUGCUUGUUGUGUGGUGUGUCGUGUGUGGUGUGGUGUUGAGCAAAAUGGCAAGUGUCAUGCUUAUUUAUAGGGAGCCUUACCUUGAUCAAGAGAGUUCUAUACAACUUGUGCAACUUGCCAAAAAAUCUAAGGCCUAGGAAAUUCUACAAGUCAUGUAAUUAAUCUAGAAAAUAUUUAGAUAUGUACAAGAAUGGAGUGUUGUAGAAAUUUCUAGAAUCGGAUUGGACUUGUGAAUUUAGGAUGUCUGCUACUAAGCACACCACAAGCUGCAAAUGUAUUAGGCGGCCUAUUGCUAAGCGCAUCUUGUUGCUUAGCACAGUCUACCUUUGGGACGUCCUUUAUUGAAUGCAUCUUGGCAUGCUAAUUUAGCCUCUUUUGGUGGUAAAUUUAAGCAGCCCGUGACAGUGUAACUCUUAAAUUAAUUUUUUGUUGGACAAUUAGACUUCUAUACUUGUAACAAAUUUUUAAACAAAUAAGUCAACAAAAUGUUCAUGUAACUGAAAUUCGGUGGUGACUGCACUCAGGUAUCUAUCUCUCAGUUUCAAAAUAUAUCUCUUCCUUUUUCUUUAUUUAUUUAUUCAUUUUUAAUCAUCAAACUGAAUGAUAUGAUUUAGACAUGUAAUACAAGGACACGAUGCUCUGGACCGACUACCUAGAUUACAACUUGAUUCAAUCAGAAUAUAUAUAAGAUAAAUAGGUCCACUUCACUUUAUAAUUUUUUAGGUAUCCAACAUUUUGAUCAAGUUAGGAGGAAUCAGAGGUGAGAAAAUGUGAAAAGAAAAAUAAAUAAAUAAUCAAAAUAAAGUCAGAUUCUAUUGGUGGUACUAAAGAGUAAAGCAGCACCACAGAAAAAAUUAUAUAAAUAGCUCCAAGAUCCUUGUAAUUCAUCAACCAACCAAGAAAAUUUCAUCACUUGAAUGUUUAUACUGCUUUUGUAGCUUAUUCUGUGCGUGUUUGCUUAGCGUUGAUGAUAAUAUGUCUGGUGACAGAGACCCUCUUGUUAUUGGCCGUGUGGUUGGUGAUGUUCUUGACAAUUUUACAAGAACAAUUCCUCUGAUGGUUACCUAUUCAGGCAAGGACGUCAAGAAUGGCUGUGAGCUCAAACCUUCUGCAGUUAUCAACCAGCCUAGGGUUGAAAUUGGUGGUGAUGAUCUUAGGACAUUUUACACUUUGGUAAU
rnacentral:lncRNA from 1 species